rnacentral:lncRNA from 1 species
GGCAAGGACAGUUUGCAGUAGCUCUAGCCCUAAGACAGACACAUGUGCAGGACACAGCCACGGUAAAGGCUGCAGAUAAAUUCAACUGUGUAAGGAAGAUCCAGUUACAUGUGGGCAACGGCAGCCAAUGGGCUGGGGCCUGAGAAUCAGCAUUCAUCCGUUUCUUGACUGUGUGACAGCCUGAAUCCAACCUCAGUGUGCCUCUGUCAGAUUAACAGGAUAGCUGGAAGUCCCGCUGGCCAUCGGACACUCGUUCAUUAGGUGCUAACUAUGUGUCAGGCACUGGGUACUGGGAUGCGAUGGUGAACAAGACAGCCACAGACCAGCUCUCCUUGGAAACUGAGCUCAGAGGUGGAAACCAACCUAAAUAAACGGUAAUUAGGUGCUACUAGGGGAGGCUGCAUGGGGUGUUAGGCUAGGACCAUAGAAAAGGGCCAUCUGACCUGGGCUAAAAGCUUUCCUGAUGCUCUGCUAUUCAAAAGUGUCUGUGGGAGAGAACCAAGAGAGGAAUGGGUUUUCAGGCCCCGGGAACAGCAGUUUAAAUGCCCCAGAACAGGAAAUACCAGGCAUGGAAAGGGGGCCAAGGUGCUGUAGACACUAACAAGAAACAAGGGUGGCUAGGGUCAUAUGUAAUGGCAGACCUAGAGGUAAGAGAACCGAUGAAGAAUGGACAAACAAGAGAGGGCAGGGGGACAAGUGGGGAGAUACCUAGAGUGCACAGAGAGGAGAAGACAGAGCUCCGAGGUGAGAGGACGCAGAGGAGCAAAGGAAAGAGUAGGCACCCACUCCUGCCCUUUCCCAGGAGGGCACUAUGCAGUGUGAGUUCACACAUCGAAGCUAAGUGUCACACCUUUUUCUGGAUGCUAGUGUGGAAAGACAAGUAAGUGUGCAUGCGAAGCCUGCCUAGCACCUGGAGGUCCGACCUCACCCCUACCCUGCUCCUGCUCACACUCCUGCUCACACACUGUGUGACCUGCAGGGGACUUGAGGCCUUUUGUUUUUCAUUUCCUGAAUCAUAUAGUGGAGUUGGUAAGGCCCCAUCGAGGGUUCCAGGAAGACCCUUUUAAACAGGAUUCUAGACAUCCCCUGAAGAACGACUGUUAACUAUCCUCUUCUUGACGAUGUCCGUGCAUGCAUGGAAAUGCUAAGAGAGAGAAGAAGGUCUGUCAGCAGCUGGAGGGAGUCGUUGCAGACCAGGUCUAGCGAGGUGGAUGGACGAGCCCUGUGAGCGGGGAAGAGGGCAGCCAGCGCUCAUUGGAUUAAGAGUGUAGAAAAGCAAACGUGUUCGAAUCUUAAACACAUCAUAAUUUUAAGCAUCCACAAGUGUUUAAAAAGUGUUAGCUGCUAUGAGCACAUACAUCCAUUUACUAGUUAAACAUCAUAACCUGUUUCUUUUCUAAACACAUGGGCAGGAGAACAGAACACGGGUAACAUGUUAAACACACUGACAUGUUUACAAUGUGUUGCAAGAAGGUGUUUAACUUUUUGUGCUCCAAAGCUAAACACUUUGGAAUUAGAGGGUUGGCUAAUUCCACCUCCAUUUAGCUCAUACCGACUGGUCCCCUCGGCUUUGGACUGAGCACCUUUGAGGAGUGGCCCAACCCUGCAGAAGUAGGCGAUCCCCGUGAUGGCCUUCCACAGGAGCAGGCAGAAAGACUCAUUGCAGAACCCCAGGGACCACGCAGUGUGGUUCAGAAAGCACAUCUUAAGAAGACUUGGUCCUCAACCUGUGACUCGCUGCACCCCAUUCUUUUGUCGGGUGAGUGAGAGCAGUUUCUGCUCUCUAGUGUUAGCUCCUGUCUGCUGGUAGGGCUUUUGCAGAGGCCUCAGACAUGCGGACAUGAGGACAUGCAGACAUGCGGACAUGCGGAUAUAUGGACAUACACCAGUUCAGUUUUGGUGUCUCCUCCAUACACACACAGACCUUGACAAGGAAAUAGGACCCCAGAAACUACCAGGAAACAAGACUAAAACAAACUCUGUGUGUGUGUGUGUGUGUGUGUGUGUGUGUGUGUGUGUGUGUGUGUAGCGGAAGGGGUAUCCAGUGAAUCUUCUCUCCUAUGGUUUCUGUAAUAAGUUAUAUUUGGUGCCUCACAAAUGGCUUUCUUCUACUUUUGUGAG